rnacentral:misc_RNA from 1 species
GAUGAAGAACGUAGUGAAAUGCGAUAAGUAAUGUGAAUUGCAGAAUUCAGUGAAUCAUCGAAUCUUUGAACGCACAUUGCGCCCCCUGGUAUUCCGGGGGGCAUGCCUGUUCGAGCGUCAUUUCACCACUCAAGCCUCGCUUGGUAUUGGGCAACGCGGUCCGACGCGUGCCUCAAAUCGACCGGCUGGGUCUUCUGUCCCCUAAGCGUUGUGGAAACUAUUCGCUAAAGGGUGUUCGGGAGGCUACGCCGUAAAACAACCCCAUUUCUAAGGUUGACCUCGGAUCAGGUAGGGAUACCCGCUGAACUUAAGCAUAUCAAUAAGCGGAGGA